rnacentral:misc_RNA from 1 species
GGAACUUGUUCAUUCACUUGCAGAAGGCUGGAAAUUGAACACAGCAUCCACGCAGUACAACAACAGGCAAAUACAACACACUAUUGUUACACAAUGAGAAGUACAAAUCGGCAAAGGAUGCACAUAGGCAUUUAUUAUGGUUCAGCUCAGAUUUGAAGUCUAGUAUGCCUUUAAUAUAUUUCAUGUUGGCAGUAUACAAAGUAAACUACUACUGAGCAUCAUCUGGAAUCAGUACAACUGAUCCAGAUGUUUUCCUGCUCUCAAGGUCGGUAUGUGCUUGUGCCGCCUGAGACAGGGGAUAAGUAUGAUUCACACGGACGCGUAAGACACCUGAUGCCACAUUAGCAAAUACCUCUCCGGCAGUUUCUAGUAGUUCAUCCCUCGUCAUUGUGUAGUGCAUCAUGCUAGGCCUUGUCAGAAAUAGCGAUUUCACUGCAAGAGCUGAUAAAGGUACUGGAUCUGGUGAGCCAGAUGACUGCCCAAAACUCAC